UACGUAGGUGGCAAGCGUUAUCCGGAUUUAUUGGGCGUAAAGGGAACGCAGGCGGUCUUUUAAGUCUGAUGUGAAAGCCUUCGGCUUAACCGGAGUAGUGCAUUGGAAACCGGGAGACUUGAGUGCAGAAGAGGAGAGUGGAACUCCAUGUGUAGCGGUGAAAUGCGUAGAUAUAUGGAAGAACACCAGUGGCGAAAGCGGCUCUCUGGUCUGUAACUGACGCUGAGGUUCGAAAGCGUGGGCAGCAAACAGG
rnacentral:rRNA from 1 species